UACGGAGGGUGCAAGCGUUAAUCGGAAUUACUGGGCGUAAAGCGUGCGUAGGUGGUUUGUUAAGUCUGAUGUGAAAGCCCUGGGCUCAACCUGGGAAUUGCAUUGGAUACUGGCAGGCUAGAGUGCGGUAGAGGGUAGUGGAAUUCCCGGUGUAGCAGUGAAAUGCGUAGAGAUCGGGAGGAACAUCAGUGGCGAAGGCGGCCAUCUGGGACAACACUGACGCUGAAGCACGAAAGCGUGGGGAGCAAACAGG
rnacentral:rRNA from 1 species